GAUGAACGCUAGCUACAGGCUUAAUACAUGCAAGUCGAGGGAACGGCGCUCGGGUGAGUAACACUUAUCCAACCUUCCCUUUACCCGGGGAUAGCCUUUCGAAAGAAAGAUUAAUACCCGAUAUUAAGGAUGGGGAGGCGUUCCAUUAGGUUGUUGGUGAGGUCACGUCCCACCAAGCCUUCGAUGGAUAGGGGUUCUGAGAGUAAGGCCCACUACAAUGGAACUGAGACACGGUCCAAACGCCUACGGACGGCAGCAGUGAGGAAUGUUAUUGAAUGGGCGUGAGCCUGAACCAGCCAAGUAGCGGUAAGGAUGAAGGAUUAUGGGUCGUAAACUUCUUUUAUAUAAGAAGCGGUAUUUAAUGAAUAAGGAUCGGCUAACUACGUGCCAGCAGCCGCGGUAAUUC
rnacentral:rRNA from 1 species